GAUGAACGCUGACAGAAUGCUUAACACAUGCAAGUCAACUUGAAUUUGGGUUUUUAACUUAGGUUUGGGUGGCGGACGGGUGAGUAACGCGUAAAGAACUUGCCUCACAGCUAGGGACAACAUUUGGAAACGAAUGCUAAUACCUAAUAUUAUGAUAAUAGGGCCUCCUAUAAUUAUGAAAGCUAUAAGCGCUGUGAGAGAGCUUUGCGUCCCAUUAGCUAGUUGGAGAGGUAACGGCUCACCAAGGCGAUGAUGGGUAGCCGGCCUGAGAGGGUGAUCGGCCACAAGGGGACUGAGACACGGCCCUUACUCCUACGGGAGGCAGCAGUGGGGAAUAUUGGACAAUGGACCGAGAGUCUGAUCCAGCAAUUCUGUGUGCACGAUGAAGUUUUUCGGAAUGUAAAGUGCUUUCAGUUGGGAAGAAACAAAUGACGGUACCAACAGAAGAAGUGACGGCUAAAUACGUG
rnacentral:rRNA from 1 species